CGGGGACAUUAGCCCGGUGAUGUGGCGCAACUAAAACUCAGAAAUAGUAAUUAUCUAUUUUUACACAAUUUUUUGAUACUUAAUCCCAUUUAACUCAAUUUUUUAUUAAAAAGAAAGGUGCCCCUUCGCUUAAAUUUUUGACCGAAGUGUCACUCCUUGCCCUCCUCUUUUUCGCUCGCACGGCUGCCCUGUUUUUAGUUUAAUGUAAAAGUCUUCUGAAAACGCCUUAAUCUUCUCUGCUUCCUCCCACUUGCUCGCUCUUAAUCGCUCUGAUUUCCUUUCUCUUUUUACAUUUCUGUCCCACAUAUCCACAGCAGCCACAUCCUCUCUAAACAAGGCUCUGAGUCUGAGUCACUAGAACCCCUUAUUUGAGUGCCCAAACCUGCCACUUUCACUGAAUGCCCAUGGACUUGGCUCCGAAACUUCAAGCUACUCUUUCCCCAACUUUUUUUUUUUCCUCGUUAAUAUAUCUUUUUCAGCCAAAAUUCACUAUAAUAUAUAUGCUUACAUUGAUGUUUAAACUUCAUCACGAGGCUUUGUUUUUUUGCCCUCUUCAUUCAUGAGAAAUUAUCAUAGCUAGGAUAUUCUGCUAACUUUUUUGAAAUAAUUUGUGUCAGAUGAAGUACUUGGUAUUGACACCAUUUGUGAGUCAUAAUAUACACAUACUUUAUGAGCAAAGACGAAAGCUAGAGGGCCAUGGUAUGCAUAAUCAUUCUCCCACUUUUACUCUAGAAAAUAAUUGACAACCGCAUAUGCAAAUCUAUAUCCCGCUACAGCACUGCCAAGAGUAAUAAUUGAAUUGUUGAUAAGACCAUCGAAUUUGAUCAAGUUAAUAGAUAAAGUAACUGGUAUGUACUUAUUGUUACGCGCCUCUUUCUUUAUAUACACCACUCUGACCACUGUACGAGGAAAUGAUACGGUAAGAAUAAACAAAUGAUGUUGCAAAAUUUCUUUGUAUGUCAUUUUUUAGUUCCAACAGAAAGUAAACAUUGGUGUGAUUAAUGCUGGUGAAACUCAGAUUUUCAAUAGUACAACAUUUUCUCCUUCAACCCUUCCACUCCUCCGUUUGUUCUACCAAAAGCACAGACAACAAAAUCGAGCAGAGAGAAAACUAUGCCGAUCUGAAAAUACCCAAUUUUUCUUGAAAUAUUGUUUUUCCUGAUUAGUCUUUGUCACUAUCAAUAUGAUGAUCGACAAUGUAGGCUUGAAAGUCCAAGCGCCACCCACUUUACGAUUGAUAGUGAAAGCAACAUGGAAUUCUACAAUGGAAAGGUUCAAAUUCUCGCAAAUCUGAACCUUUAAUCAAGAAGGCUUACACCUUACUUCUCCUGUGAUGGUUGGUCAUUUAUGGACGGUAAGCUCAAUUCAUUAAACGUUUUGGUAUUUAUACGGCUCAAUUCAAGAAAGUUAACAGGCGAAAGCAUCAUCAUUUACAUUGAGUAGGUAUUUAUACAGCUGUAGUUUGAACGAAAUUGCAUUAUAAACUAUAUGUUACUCAGGGAUUAUUAAUUGCAUUAUCGUUCAAAAUCGCAAGUUGGGGGCAUAUCUUCUUGAUGAUUUCUGUGUGAGUAGGCUCCUGCCAAAUUUACCAUGUGCCAAGUUGGAACAGGAUAUGCUUGCAUUCUCCGGAUGUUAUUAUGAAACUCGGUAAAAUACGGAAGAGGUGGACGACAUUAAAUGCGAGUCACUGCCUAUUUCAGAGAUAUAUCGAUGACAAGCCAACUAUCCAAAUGCGAAGAAGCUUUAUAAGUUGUUCCUUAAUCGAAAUAGCAUAUGACAUGUGAAGAGUUUUCCUCACAAGUUCGAACGUCUCAAAUAGGUUUCAUGGGCGAGCCAAUGGAGGUAAAGCCAGCUAGGGGAGUGUUUCAUGAAAACCCAUCAGCAUGCAUUUGUGCAGAUUCUGAUGUCAAAGCUAGAUAAUACGCAAGUUUAUAUAGAAAUCCCACUAAUAGUGCUAGGAGAGAUAUGGUUGUAGUAACUGAUAGAAUGGUUAGUGAAUAAGCGCAAAAAUGGUCUGAUACAGAAUAUAUUGAGAAUGAACCUGAAAUUCAAUGAAGAGGGCUUCCUAAAGAUAUGACGUACGUAGAUUCUGGCAGACCUUUUAAAACAGAACAACCAGAAAUGGAGGAUGAUUUUGGCAAAGUAAAGAACAGUUGCACAUGAAGAGUUGUGAGUGCAAUGAAGGAUUGCAAUAAAUGAGGAUAACAAAUGGUCGUAGUAUAGAAGUUCGUAACAAUUCCCUUCCUUUCUGCAAAUUGGUUGUAUUUUCUUGAUAUUAUUUAAACAGCAUGUAGCUUAGGAUCAUUUUCUGGCAACGUGAUGAACCCAUUUAGAAAUGAUUCAUUUUCUCUUUUUAUGGCCUUGACAGUAGAAUUUCUGGUGUUAGUAAGGCUUGCACUUCAAAUUUGUGUCCAGCAAAGUAAUGUGAUAUUUCUUAGAAGUCUCCAUAAAAAGUUCUAAUUGCUAAGCUUACGUAUUUAUUUAAUUUUGCUUGGAUUAAAUCGGAGAAUAUGUAGAAGAUGAAAUUGAUCAAAGAUGAAGUCUUUUGCAAUCAUUAAUUAAAGGUUCUUCAUAUAUGUGACAAUGUCAAAUCUUCUAUUUUAUGUUGGAAUAUUCUUAAUAUUUUAGUUUUUACAAGAAUCUACAUUUUCGUUGUUUUAAUAUUGGAAUAUUAGGAAGGAUUAUUUGUAACCUACAAUCUAGUUUGAA